CGUCCGAUUAAGGUUCUCUAUACGGGUCCGUUGAAGAUCAAUAUUCAUCAUUGGAAUGCUUACAAAUGUCGGUAAUAGGGGAUUUGAGCGAAUUUAUAACAUUCUCAAGUGGACAAUGGAACACGUGAUGGAUUAGUCGAGUUUCUAAGAACUGCUGCCAAAGACCCAGAAUUAGUUGUCC